UACGAAGGGUGCAAGCGUUACUCGGAAUUACUGGGCGUAAAGCGUGCGUAGGUGGUUUGUUAAGUCUGAUGUGAAAGCCCUGGGCUCAACCUGGGAACGGCAUUGGAAACUGGCUUACUAGAGUGCGGUAGAGGGGUGUGGAAUUCCCGGUGUAGCAGUGAAAUGCGUAGAUAUCAGGAGGAACACCGGUGGCGAAGGCGGCCCACUGGUCCGGUACUGACGCUGAGGUGCGAAAGCGUGGGGAGCAAACAGG
rnacentral:rRNA from 1 species